rnacentral:piRNA from 1 species
UCCUGAUAAGCUGGUCCUGCUAGUCAUGC